rnacentral:rRNA from 1 species
AUACGUAGGUGACAAGCGUUAUCCGGAUUUACUGGGCGUAAAGGGCGUGUAGGCGGUCUUGCAAGUCAGAAGUGAAAUUCCUGAGCUCAACUCGGGCGCUGCUUCUGAAACUGCAGGACUUGAGUGCUGGAGGGGAUAGCGGAAUUCCUAGUGGAGCGGUAAAAUGCGCAGAUAUUAGGAAGAACACCGGUGGCGAAGGCGGCUAUCUGGACAGUAACUGACGCUGAGGCGCGAAAGUGUGGGGAGCAAACAGGAUUAGAUACCCUGGUAGUCCACACUGUAAACGAUGAAUGCUAGGUGUAGGGGGUGUCGACCCCUUCUGUGCCGCAGUCAACACAAUAAGCAUUCCGCCUGGGGAGUACGGCCGCAAGGUUGAAACUCAAAGGAAUUGGCGGGG